GACGAACGCUGGUGGCGUGCUUAACACAUGCAAGUCGAACGGAAAGGCCCUGCUUUUGUGGGGUGCUCGAGUGGCGAACGGGUGAGUAACACGUGAGUAACCUGCCCUUGACUUUGGGAUAACUUCAGGAAACUGGGGCUAAUACCGGAUAGGAGCUCCUGCUGCAUGGUGGGGGUUGGAAAGUUUCGGCGGUUGGGGAUGGACUCGCGGCUUAUCAGCUUGUUGGUGGGGUAGUGGCUUACCAAGGCUUUGACGGGUAGCCGGCCUGAGAGGGUGACCGACCACAUUGGGACUGAGAUACGGCCCAGACUCCUACGGGAGGCAGCAGUGGGGAAUAUUGCACAAUGGGCGGAAGCCUGAUGCAGCAACGCCGCGUGCGGGAUGACGGCCUUCGGGUUGUAAACCGCUUUCGCCUGUGACGAAGCGUGAGUGACGGUAAUGGGUAAAGAAGCACCGGCUAACUACGUG
rnacentral:rRNA from 1 species